rnacentral:rRNA from 1 species
UACGAAGGGGGCUAGCGUUGUCCGGAUUUAUUGGGCGUAAAGAGCGUGUAGGCGGCUUUACAGGUCCGUUGUGAAAACUCGAGGCUCAACCUCGAGACGCCGGUGGAAACCGUAAAGCUAGAGUCCGGAAGAGGAGAGUGGAAUUCCUGGUGUAGCGGUGAAAUGCGCAGAUAUCAGGAGGAACACCCGUGGCGAAAGCGGCUCUCUGGGACGGUACUGACGCUGAGGAGCGAAAGCGUGGGGAGCGAACAGG